AAAAUGGAUUAAUCAGCUGACUCCAGAAUGCAUUUUAGAUAUCACAGGGCAAUGCCAGAGACCUUGCAGAGUCUGGCCUCGAAAGCUGCCUCUUUAACUCUACGGGAAGGAGUCGUGUCGCGUACGCUCAUUGCUUUGCCUCCUCUCCUCUCUGUCCAUCGGUCCUUCUCAGCCAUUCCUCAUCCAGGUGCUUGUUAACCAGGCAUUCAGGGAGCACCUGCUCAGGCCCAUGGUCCUGGCUCGGGGCCGUGAGCAGGGGCUUUGCAAUCGCGCAGGACACGGGUUUGAUUCCAGGCACUGCCACGUCCGUGCACUGUAACCCUCAGGCAAGUUACUUAACCUCUCUGAGCCUGUUCCCUCCUGCGUGGGCCAGGACUACAAGAUCCCCGCCUCCCAGGAGGAUCUGGAGAACAAAACAGGGUGGGGUUUGCAAAGCUCUGAUACCCAGGGGCAGGUAGCCCCCUGCCUUCUAGCAGCUUCUUUGCACUACCGGCCCAGAUGGCAUUGCCCGGCCAGCCGCAGACCAUUCGUUCCCAGCCUGUGCCCCUUUGCUCAGGCCUCUGAGUUCCAGGCUCGUGGCGGUCAAUUGAGGGAUUGGAAGGUUCCUGAGAAAUUUCUAGCCUCCCUCUUUCAUUCCCUGUUUGAACCCCUCAAUGAGGUCUAUGGGGGCGAUCAGCCUUGGCUUAAAGGCCAUCAGAAAUUGGUGGGGGCGCCCGUUUGAGCGUCUGACUCUCGGUUUCGGCUCAGGUCAUGAUUUGAGGGUCGUGGAUUCAUGCAUUGGGCCCCAUGCUGAGCACAGAGCCUGCUUAAGAUUCUCUCCCUCCUGCCCCUCCCCUGCUUGCUCUCUCUCAA
rnacentral:lncRNA from 1 species